GAUGAACGCUGGCGGCGUGCCUAAUACAUGCAAGUCGAGCGAACGGACGAGAAGCUUGCUUCUCUGAUGUUAGCGGCGGACGGGUGAGUAACACGUGGAUAACCUACCUAUAAGACUGGGAUAACUUCGGGAAACCGGGGCUAAUACCGGAUAAUAUUUUGAACCGCAUGGUUCAAAAGUGAAAGACGGCUUUGCUGUCACUUAUAGAUGGACCCGCGCUGCAUUAGCUAGUUGGUAAGGUAACGGCUUACCAAGGCAACGAUGCUUAGCCGACCUGAGAGGGUGAUCGGCCACACUGGAACUGAGACACGGUCCAGACUCCUACGGGAGGCAGCAGUAGGGAAUCUUCCGCAAAGGGCGAAAGCCUGACGGAGCAACGCCGCGUGAGUGAUGAAGGUCUUCGGAUCGUAAAACUCUGUUAUUAGGGAAGAACAUAUGCGUAAGUAACUGUGCACAUCUUGACGGUACCUAAUCAGAAAGCCACGGCUAACUACGUG
rnacentral:rRNA from 1 species